CGGAGCUUGCUCCACCGGAAAAAGAGGAGUGGCGAACGGGUGAGUAACACGUGGGUAACCUGCCCAUCAGAAGGGGAUAACACUUGGAAACAGGUGCUAAUACCGUAUAACAAUCGAAACCGCAUGGUUUUGAUUUGAAAGGCGCUUUCGGGUGUCGCUGAUGGAUGGACCCGCGGUGCAUUAGCUAGUUGGUGAGGUAACGGCUCACCAAGGCCACGAUGCAUAGCCGACCUGAGAGGGUGAUCGGCCACAUUGGGACUGAGACACGGCCCAAACUCCUACGGGAGGCAGCAGUAGGGAAUCUUCGGCAAUGGACGAAAGUCUGACCGAGCAACGCCGCGUGAGUGAAGAAGGUUUUCGGAUCGUAAAACUCUGUUGUUAGAGAAGAACAAGGAUGAGAGUAACUGUUCAUCCCUUGACGGUAUCUAACCAGAAAGCCACGGCUAACUACGUGCCAGCAGCCGCGGUAAUACGUAGGUGGCAAGCGUUGUCCGGAUUUAUUGGGCGUAAAGCGAGCGCAGGCGGUUUCUUAAGUCUGAUGUGAAAGCCCCCGGCUCAACCGGGGAGGGUCAUUGGAAACUGGGAGACUUGAGUGCAGAAGAGGAGAGUGGAAUUCCAUGUGUAGCGGUGAAAUGCGUAGAUAUAUGGAGGAACACCAGUGGCGAAGGCGGCUCUCUGGUCUGUAACUGACGCUGAGGCUCGAAAGCGUGGGGAGCAAACAGGAUUAGAUACCCUGGUAGUCCACGCCGUAAACGAUGAGUGCUAAGUGUUGGA
rnacentral:rRNA from 1 species